CUCGGAUCAGGUAGGAAUACCCGCUGAACUUAAGCAUAUCAAUAAGCGGAGGAAA
rnacentral:rRNA from 15 species